rnacentral:rRNA from 1 species
UACGUAGGGGGCAAGCGUUGUCCGGAUUUAUUGGGCGUAAAGAGCGUGUAGGCGGCCGUACAGGUCAGCUGUGAAAACUCGAGGCUCAACCUCGAGACGUCGGUUGAAACCGUACGGCUAGAGUCCGGAAGAGGAGAGUGGAAUUCCCGGUGUAGCGGUGAAAUGCGCAGAUAUCGGGAAGAACACCCGUGGCGAAGGCGGCUCACUGGUCCGGUACUGACGCUGAUGUGCGAAAGCGUGGGGAGCAAACAGG